rnacentral:rRNA from 1 species
UACGUAGGGAGCAAGCGUUUGUCCGGAAUCAUUGGGCGUAAAGCGCGCGUAGGUGGCCACAUAAGUCCGUUGUGAAAGUCAAAGGCUCAACCUUUGAAAGCCGAUGGAUACUGUGUGGCUAGAGUACGGAAGAGGCGAGUGGAAUCCUGGUGUAGCGGUGGAAUGCGCAGAUAUCAGGAGGAACACCAAUAGCGAAGGCAGCUCGCUGGGACGUUACUGACACUGAGGCGCGAAAGCGUGGGGAGCGAACAGG